CUAUAAAUAGCAUUCAAGGGGCACCGAGUGGUUUUACCACUUUUUGCUUCCGGUUUCCCUCUUGCUUCUUGCGCUCUUCUUAGCUUAAUAAAAUGGCUUCAGGCAUCCCUAUCAGCGACGAAAGUUAUAAUGCUUAUGAACGCGUGAAGAACAGAAAUCUUCGAGGCGCUAUUUUAAAAAUUGAAAAUAACGAGAUUGUAGUCGAAGAAUUGUUCGAUAAUAGUUCUUCCUCAGAAUCCACUUGGGAAAAUUUAUGUAGCAGACUUAAAUCUAAGGAAUGUCGCUAUAUUCUCUACGAUUUUGAGUUUACGGUUGCAUCUAGUAAGAGGAGCAAAGUUUCACUAGCGUUGUGGGCUCCUGAUACUGCCAGUGUGAAGGAUAAAAUGUUAUCAGCAUCUUCUGCUGAAGCGUUAAAGAACAAAUUUGGUUUAUCUGUCGUUACUCAAGUUAACUGUCCCAGUGCUCUUGGAUACUCAGAAAUAGUCCAGGAAGUAGGAAAAAGAUCCAGCUAAAAUUGGUUUACUUCCCUCAGAGUACUAUUAAAAAUUUAAUGAAACUA